rnacentral:sRNA from 1 species
UGGGAAGUAUAAGUCGUAACAAGGUCUCCGUUGGUGAACCAGCGGAGGGAUCAUUAUCGAGUUACCGCUCUUCAACCCUUUGUGAACAUACCCAACUGUUGCUUCGGCGGGUCGGGGCGCCCUCCCGGGGGCGCCCCCCAGGCCCGGCCCCUCUCGGGGCCGAGCGCCCGCCGGAGGAUCACCCAACUCUAUUUUAACGACGUUUCUUCUGAGUGGCACAAGCAAAUAAUUAAAACUUUUAACAACGGAUCUCUUGGUUCUGGCAUCGAUGAAGAACGCAGCGAAAUGCGAUAAGUAAUGUGAAUUGCAGAAUUCAGUGAAUCAUCGAAUCUUUGAACGCACAUUGCGCCCGCCAGCAUUCUGGCGGGCAUGCCUGUUCGAGCGUCAUUUCAACCCUCAAGCCCGGCUUGGUGUUGGGGCACUACGGUCGACGUAGGCCCUUAAAGGUAGUGGCGGACCCUCCCGGAGCCUCCUUUGCGUAGUAACUAACGUCUCGCAUCGGGAUCCGGAGGGACUCCUGCCGUAAAACCCCCACACUUUUUCUGGUUGACCUCGGAUCAGGUAGGAAUACCCGCUGAACUUAAGCAUAUCAAUAAGCCAGAGGAC